UACGUAGGGACCAAGCGUUGUUCGGAUUUACUGGGCGUAAAGGGCGCGUAGGCGGCAAUUCAAGUCAGCUGUGAAAUCUCCGGGCUUAACUCGGAACGGUCAGCUGAUACUGCUUUGCUAGAGUGCGGAAGGGGCAAUCGGAAUUCUCGGUGUAGCGGUGAAAUGCGUAGAUAUCGAGAGGAACACCUGAGGUGAAGACGGGUUGCUGGGCCGACACUGACGCUGAGGCGCGGAAAGCCAGGGUAGCAAACGGG
rnacentral:rRNA from 1 species